rnacentral:lncRNA from 1 species
GCAGGGGACCUGACAAACAAGUAGCCGGUCCCUAGAACCGACUAAUAUGAUAAACCGGAGAUUUAUAAGGAGUUUUCAUCUGACGGUGUAAAAUAAGCCACGUGUCAAAUUGAUUUUCUUCUCCAAACUGUUGGGAUUCUGAUGCUUGCGACCAAAAAACUAAUCAACGGUCUUGGAAACGCCAUGUAGAUAUUUAUAUUGCUUUAAAACCAAUUAAAAUCUGAGAAAACAGGCGAGUGGGGUCCGCAGUUUACAUGUAUUUUGGUAACUGUUGCGAUUUACGUCUAUGUUCAUUUUCUGUUUUGUACUCUUUUUUUUUCUUUUUAUUACUACUAGAUCUUUUUUCCGCGCUACGCGCGGAUAAUAUAUUUAAAUUUUUUACAUUUCUUAUUUUUAUUUGUAUGUAAAUUUUUGUAUAUUAAAUUAUAUAUAAAUAAUUUUUAAAUUUUUUUUUUUAUAUUUUUAAUUUGAAGUAAGUAUUUCUAUUAUAUGUAACACAAUUAACUAAUAAAAUAUGAAAAAUCAAGUCCGAAAUUUUAGAGUUAUGUAAAAAAAAUAUAAUUAUGUAUAGAAUAUAAAUUAUCUUAGUUUAAAAGAUCGGAAUCUCAUCUCGAACAAAUUCACGAAAAUAAAAAGUACUCUCAUAACGUACUUAAAAUAUAAAACCCUCUUUUCAAAAAAAAAAGCAUACUUAAUAAUAUUUUUUGCGUGUAAUAAUUGAAAACUAACAAUUGAAUAUCGAUCUAGAAUAUUAUUUUAAUAUAUCUAAUGGUAAAUUAUUAAUUGUAAUAAUUUUUUUUUGAAUUUUGUAAUAUUACAUGAAUUAGAAGUCUUUAAAAUCUAAAAUCUAUUUUAUUAACGUAAUAUAUUUUAUUCAUUUAUUAUUUUGAUGUUACAAAAUAUUGCUUUAGUUUUAUUUGUAUAUUAAUUUUUUUAAUAAUUUUUUUCUUUUUAAGUAAUUUUAAAAUUAUCAAGAAUAUAAUAUAUUUAAAAUUUUUUGUUUC